rnacentral:rRNA from 1 species
CAAGAGUACGUGAAACCGUUCAGGGGUAAACCUGAGAAACCCAAAAGAUCGAAUGGGGAGAUUCAUCGUCAGCUCAUUUUAUAUAUAUGCUAGUUAUGAUAUGGGUUACUACUUGUAGUAUUGCCUGUACAUUCUAGUAUAUUUAAUUGUAAGAUGUUGUCGGCGUGCACUUCUCCCCUAGUAGGACGUCGCGACCCGUUGAGUGUUGGUCUACGGCCCAGGUGGUAGCUUUUAAUGAAUUUUAUUCAUUGAAAACCCUUGGUGUUUCCUGACUGGCACUCGUCGGUAUUCGUAUGGUAUUGAGCCGCAUAUUAUAUGCGUCCAUAUCUGUCACAAGCGAGGCUAGUAACUGAUAGUACGGACCUAGUGCCGUCGUUGGUGCUAACCAGCUGUUGGUUGUAUAGAAUUCUAGGACUGGCUCGUAAUGAAAUACCGGUCAGCGAUGCUACUGCUUUGGGUACUUUCAGGACCCGUCUUGAAACACGGACCAAGAUUUUAUA